rnacentral:rRNA from 1 species
CCCUUAGAUGUUCUGGGCUGCACGCGCGCUACACUGAUGCGAUCAACAAGUUUUUCCUAUGCCGAUAGACACGGGUAAUCUUUUGAACUCGCAUCGUGAUGGGGAUAGAUUAUUGUAAUUAUUAAUCUUCAACGAGGAAUUCCUAGUAGGUGCAAAUCAUCAGUUUGCAUCGAUUACGUCCCUGCCCUUUGUACACACCGCCCGUCGCUGCUACCGAUUGGUUGAUCUGGUGAAUUAUUCGGACUGCCGGCUGAAGGGGUUUCCUCAUCUGCCAGCGGAAAGUCUUGUUAACCCUAUCAACUAGAGGAAGCAGAAGUCGUAACA